UGCAGACUUUUCACAUUCACAUUACUAUCGCCAUUGCUGCUUCUUAUCGAUGCGAGCCCAGAUCCGUGACAGUAUAUUUACUUUCUAGUACAUCCAAACAUAUUUUUCCAAUGAGUUGAAAAAUGACAUAGACCCCGAGAUGCAAGCAAAGCUGCUUUUCACAAAGAAAGCAGCAGCAGUCCCGACUCGAAUGAAAAUUCAUGAAAGCUCCAGGUCUACAACAAUGUGCACAGGUGAGACAUAAACAAAGAACAAGCGUGCACAUACCCCUGGAAGGCCAGCAAACAGCUGCUUCAGUUUAUUCCGAUAAAUGAACCCACUUCCGUAGGGGGGGUCUGCGGAAGGAUCAUUAUCGAAUAAACUUGAGCAUGCUGUUGCUGGCCCCUUCCCAGGGGUAUGUGCACGCUUGUUCUUUGUUAUUUCUCCAACCUGUGCACAUUUUGUAGACCCUGGAGCUUUCAUGAAUUUUCAUUCGAGUCGGGACUGCUGCUGCUUUCCUUUGUGAAAAGCCAGCUUUGCCUUGCAUCUCCAGGGUCUAUGUCAUUUUUCACAACCUCAUUGAAAAAAUAUGUUUGGAUGUACCCAUAGAAAUGAAAUAUACAACUUUCAGCAACGGAUCUCUUGGCUCUCGCAUCGAUGAAGAACGCAGCGAAAUGCGAUAAGUAAUGUGAAUUGCAGAAUUCAGUGAAUCAUCGAAUCUUUGAACGCAUCUUGCGCUCCUUGGUAUUCCGAGGAGCAUGCCUGUUUGAGUGUCAUUUAACUUCUCAACCACUUGAUAUUCAAGUGGCUUGGAUCUGGGGGUUGUUUGCAGGCUUUUUCUGUCAAAAGGAAAGGUCGGCUCCCCUGAAAUGUAUUAGUGGUAUCUGAGCUGCUACUAUAGGUGUGAUAAUUAUCUAUGCCUUUGGUAUGCUGCAUGAACGGAUUGCACUGCUUAUUAACAAAGACAAACUUGAUAAAUUGACCUCAAAUCAGUAGACACCCGU
rnacentral:rRNA from 1 species